rnacentral:lncRNA from 1 species
GCAAUGAGUCUGAGGCACAAAGAAUCAGGUGUUGUAUAGAAAAGACAAAGAACGAUGUUUCAAAAGCUGUGGGAGACAAUGACUCACAGCAUGAACAUAGGCUUUACGAUCAUCCUAAAUUGAGAGCAAGGCCUCAAAGAAGAAAUGGCAGAAGAGCACAAGGUAGCUGAGGUACAUGAGUGAGGACCAGAAGAUGUUCUGAAAGUGAGAGUGACACUGGUCAUGCUGCAUCCAGCAGAAGACCAGGUAGUUAACCACACAGCCCAUCAGCAUCUGAGUGAUCUGGGACAAGGUGAUGAACAUGGCAAACUUCCGGGAGACUCGGAAACCUGCCGCCCGCAAGG